rnacentral:tRNA from 1 species
UGAAAAAUAGUGUAUUGUGCACACAGGCCUUUGACCCCUGGAGAAAGGACCCUGCUCCUUUUUUUCAA